CAUGCAAGUCGAGCGGAUUUAUCCUUCGGGAUAAGUUAGCGGCGGACGGGUGAGUAACACGUAGGUAACCUGCCUAUAAGACUGGGAUAACUAUCGGAAACGAUAGCUAAGACCGGAUAACUGAUUUUCUCGCAUGAGAGAAUUAUGAAACACGGAGCAAUCUGUGGCUUAUAGAUGGGCCUGCGGCGCAUUAGCUAGUUGGUAGGGUAAUGGCCUACCAAGGCGACGAUGCGUAGCCGACCUGAGAGGGUGACCGGCCACACUGGGACUGAGACACGGCCCAGACUCCUACGGGAGGCAGCAGUAGGGAAUCUUCCGCAAUGGACGCAAGUCUGACGGAGCAACGCCGCGUGAGUGAUGAAGGUUUUCGGAUCGUAAAGCUCUGUUGCCCUAGACGAACAGCAUGAGGAGUAACUGCCUUGUGUGUGACGGUAUAGGAGAAGAAAGCCCCGGCUAACUACGUGCCAGCAGCCGCGGUAAUACGUAGGGGGCAAGCGUUGUCCGGAAUUAUUGGGCGUAAAGCGCGCGCAGGCGGUCAAUUAAGUUGGGUGUUUAAUCCCGGGGCUCAACCCCGGUUCGCAUCCAAAACUGGUUGACUUGAGUGUAGGAGAGGAAAGUGGAAUUCCACGUGUAGCGGUGAAAUGCGUAGAGAUGUGGAGGAACACCAGUGGCGAANGCGACUUUCUGGCCUAUAACUGACGCUGA
rnacentral:rRNA from 1 species